GAUGAAGAACGUAGCGAAAUGCGAUACGUAAUGUGAAUUGCAGAAUUCAGUGAAUCAUCGAAUCUUUGAACGCAUAUUGCGCUCUUUGGUAUUCCGAAGAGCAUGCUUGUUUGAGUAUCAGUAAACACCUCAACCUCUUCUUGAUUUUUCAAAAGGAGGGUGGACUUGAGCUAUCCCAACAACCUUUACCGGUCGGCGGGCGGCUUGAAAUGCAGGUGCAGCUGGACUUUUAUCUGAGCUAAAAGCAUAUCUAUUUAGUCCUCGUCAAACAGGAUUAUUACUUUUGCUGCAGCUAACAUAAAGGAUAAUUGUCCUCUUUGCUGACUGAUGCAUGAUUUUACGACACUUUAUGUGUUGUUCAACUCGAUCUCAAAUCAAGUAAGACUCCCCGCUGAACUUAAGCAUAUCAAUAAGCGGAGGA
rnacentral:misc_RNA from 1 species